UCUCUAGUUAUGAGGAGAUGGGGGGGCCUCACAUCAUCCUCAAUGGACACAGCGCAGCCAGGAGAACGGGCACAAGGCAGCCAGUCACACAGGCCCCGGGGAGGGGGGGGGGGCUCGGGGGAAAUGUCACUGGGGCGAGGCUCACAGACUCUCCCGGGGCGGGAGGCAAGCUAGGUCGCUGUCGCUGUACGCCAAGCCCGGAUGGCUCCCUGGGCUUCCCUGAACAUCUGGGGCGGCCGCCGGUGUUUCUUCCCCCCCACCGGAUGGACCGCUUUACCCCCUCCGUGCGGCUACUACACCAUCCAAGAUGGCCGACCCGCUUCCUCCGGACAGCCUAGCCCUACAGCCGCCGGAAAUGACGUGCUCUCCAUCGGCAGCUCUGAUUGGGGGC